rnacentral:lncRNA from 1 species
CUGGGAUAUGCCAUAGCCCAUAGCUGCAAAAGCGCCUGUCCAUCCUGUUAAUAUUUAACACCACUCUGCUAGAAAAAUCUCUCUAAUCUCCCCCUUUAUUUGUAUUUCAGAUGGUUUUUGAUCAUCCUGAGAAAAAUGAGCCUUGGCCUCCAGACCUAAUCAAGUAAAUCUCUUUCCCAUGGAGAAUAAUACCAGGGUUCCUGGGGACCUGGAGGGCCUGCAGCCCCAGAGGGAUUAGCCAGAAGCAGGUAAGGAGCUCCUAGAAGUUUGAGAAAGUGGAGGGUGAUUUCCUGAGUAAAACGGCAUGGGCCUGACUCUGCUAGCAAGUGGCUUGGGUCUUCCUCAUCUCACUAUAGCUUCACCACUUUGCCUCUGUUUCUUCCUUUCCUAGUCUUCUAAGAACUUAGUCUGUGAGGGCCAAAGAGGUGGGGAUAGCAGGCUUCUCCAACUCUAUGCUACAGAUAGAAGGUCUGAAUUUUCUAUAACUGACAGCCUUUUAUGAGAGCAUUUAUGUGCCAACCAUUGCAUUUGACAGUAAACACGCUUCCAGUAGAUAGAGCAGAGCUCUUUACUUACAGAUAUUUUCUUUAUUGUUUAUCUAGUGUUGGCUUGGUCUCUGUGGGUGGUAAUGUGCAUGGCUGCAGUAUUCUUUUUUUAGAAGUUUCUUCCUGGUAUAAGGAUUCAUUGGAUUCAGCUUUGCUGGCUCACCAAUCUCUUACUUAGCAUGACUCUGUUCUGGGUUUGGUUCUGGGGCAAAUUAUUCAGACAUGAUACCAGGAAGCAUUCUCCUCUGAAUCAGGGCUUAGGCUCAAAACCCAAGCUUUGUAAACAUGGCUUGUUAACAAGCAGGGGUGUGGUGAAAGCCAAGGGCAGUGAAUUCAUCAGCUGCAAAACCUGGAAGCUUACAGAGUAAGUCUGGAGAUAGGAAAAAUCAAAUCAUAUACUGUUUUCCAAAAGCUUUUGGGGAAAAAGUCAGUCACCACUCUUUUCCCUGAGGUAGGUGUUAGGUGAGGC